rnacentral:rRNA from 1 species
GAUCCUGGCUCAGGACGAACGCUGGCGGCGUGCCUAACACAUGCAAGUCGAACGGAGUCAGCCCCGCAAGGGACCGACUUAGUGGCGAACGGGUGAGUAACGCGUGAGCAACCUGCCUUUCAGUGGGGGACAACAGUUGGAAACGACUGCUAAUACCGCAUAAAGCAUUUUGACCGCAUGAUCGAGAUGCCAAAGAUUUAUUGCUGAAAGAUGGGCUCGCGUCUGAUUAGAUAGUUGG